rnacentral:rRNA from 1 species
GAUGAACGCUGGCGGCGUGCCUAAUACAUGCGAGUCGAGCGAAGCGGGGACGGGUGAGUAACACGUCGAUAACCUCCUUUAAGACUGGGAUAACUUAGGGCAACCGGCGCUUAACCGGAUCCUUAUAGAUGGAUCCGCACGGCAUUAGCUAGUGGGUAAGGUAACGGCUUACCAAGGCAACGAUGCAUAGCCGACCUGAGAGGGUUAUCGGCCACACUGGAACUGAGACACGGUCCAGACUCAUACGGGAGGCAGCAGUAGGGAACAGUCCGCAAUGAGCGAAAGCCUGACGGAGCAACGCCGCGUGAGUGAGGAAGUACUUCGGAUCGUAAAACACUGUUAAUAGGGAAGCGUUACCUAAGCAGGGAGCGACGGCUAACUACGUGCCAGCAGCCGCGGUAAUAC